AUUGAACGCUGGCGGCAUGCUUUACACAUGCAAGUCGAACGGCAGCGCGGGCUUCGGCCUGGCGGCGAGUGGCGAACGGGUGAGUAAUGCAUCGGAACGUGCCCAGCAGUGGGGGAUAGCCCGGCGAAAGCCGGAUUAAUACCGCAUACGACCUGAGGGCGAAAGCGGGGGACCGAAAGGCCUCGCGCUAUUGGAGCGGCCGAUGUCGGAUUAGCUAGUUGGUGGGGUAAAGGCUUACCAAGGCGACGAUCCGUAGCUGGUCUGAGAGGACGACCAGCCACACUGGGACUGAGACACGGCCCAGACUCCUACGGGAGGCAGCAGUGGGGAAUUUUGGACAAUGGGGGCAACCCUGAUCCAGCCAUGCCGCGUGCGGGAAGAAGGCCUUCGGGUUGUAAACCGCUUUUGUUCGGGGAGAAAUCCUCUGGGCUAAUACCCCGGGGGGAUGACGGUACCGGAAGAAUAAGCACCGGCUAACUACGUG
rnacentral:rRNA from 1 species